rnacentral:misc_RNA from 1 species
AAGUCGUAACAAGGUUUCCGUAGGUGAACCUGCGGAAGGAUCAUUAACACGUAUCCAAACGUUAAACAACCGUGAACAUAUGGUCGCCCCGCUCGCAUGGACAAGCCCAGUAAAUCAAGCCCCGGAAAGUUUUUGAUUUGGGACCUCUGUGCGCGUGAGAAAAACUGACAGCGAUUCAGGUCAAGUGACACGGCGUCCCCGGAGCGUCAAGGACGACUCUUCAAGAUUGCUAGAGGUCGCACCGACCGGCUUCCGUGUAUACUGAGCUUAACCCCACUUUAUUGCCUUGCCUGUAAGCAUCCAUACGGAUGGGCAGGCCCCCCGAACAACUGUUAACAAUGGAUAUCUUGGUUCUC